UACCCUACAGCUAGCCUAACCACCAAGAACACAACAACCAAACAUCCCUCAACUUCAACUACAAGAACAAGACUAAACAAACCAUUUCCCUCUACCAAAGUAUAGGAGAUAGAAAAGGACCUAAAUAGAGCAAUAGAUAAAGUACCGCAAGGGAAAGCUGAAAGAGAAAUGAAAUAACCCAGUCAAAGUUAAUAAAAGCAGAGCCGAACCCUCGUACCUUUUGCAUCAUGAUUUAGCUAGUAUAUUUUAAGCAAAAAGCCUUAUAGUUUAACACCCCGAAACUAGUUGAGCUACUCCAAGACAGCCUACAAAUAGGGCAAACCCGUCUCUGUGGCAAAAGAGUGGGAAGAGCUUUGAGUAGAGGUGACAGACCUACCGAAACUAGUAAUAGCUGGUUGCCUGAGAAAUGAAUAGAAGUUCAGCCUGCCCUGUUCUUCCCUCCACUCCGUUCAGCACUAAAAGAGAAGAAGAACUCAGCAGAGUUAGUCAAAGAAGGUACAGCUCCUUUGAAUCAAGCUACAACUUUUACAGGAGGGUAAAGAUCCUACUACUAAAAGGUCAAAUAUUACAGUGGGCCUAAAAGCAGCCACCUGCCUAGAAAGCGUUAAAGCUCAAAUAUAAAACAAGACCUAUUAUCCCGAUAAACUUUUCUUAACCCCCUACCACCAUCAGGCCGUCCCAUUAAAACAUGGGAGCGUCUAUGCUAAUAUGAGUAAUAAGAGAGCACCGCCUCUCUCCCAGCACACGUGUAAAUCGAAACGGACUAACCCCCGAACAUUAACGGCCCCAAUAAAAGAGGUAAAUAAGCACUAAAUAGACAACCAGAAAACCACUUAACUUAAAACCGUUAACCCCACACAGGUGUGCCUACAAGGAAAGACUAAAAGAAAAAGAAGGAACUCGGCAAACAAAAGCCUCGCCUGUUUACCAAAAACAUCGCCUCUUGAACAACAGUAAAUAUAAGAGGUCCCGCCUGCCCUGUGACUAUAAGUUUAACGGCCGCGGUAUUUUGACCGUGCGAAGGUAGCGCAAUCACUUGUCUCUUAAAUGGAGACCUGUAUGAAUGGCAUAACGAGGGCUUAACUGUCUCCUUUUUCAGGUCAAUGAAAUUGAUCUCCCCGUGCAGAAGCGGGGAUAAUAACAUAAGACGAGAAGACCCUAUGGAGCUUUAGACACCAAGCAGCCCAUGUCAAAACCACCCCCACACGGAAAUAAACUAAAUGGGCCCUGCCCUACUGUCUUUGGUUGGGGCGACCACGGGGAAACACAAAACCCCCACGCGGAAUGGGAGCACACCUCCUAGAACCAAGAGCCACAGCUCUAAUUAACAGAAUUUCUGACCACCAUGAUCCGGCAAUGCCGAUCAACGGACCGAGUUACCCUAGGGAUAACAGCGCAAUCCUCUUUUAGAGCCCAUAUCGACAAGAGGGUUUACGACCUCGAUGUUGGAUCAGGACAUCCUAAUGGUGCAGCCGCUAUUAAGGGUUCGUUUGUUCAACGAUUAAAGUCCUACGUGAUCUGAGUUCAGACCGGAGUAAUCCAGGUCAGUUUCUAUCUAUGCUAUAAUCUUUUCUAGUACGAAAGGACCGAAAAGAAGAGGCCCCUGCCCAAAGCACGCCUCUCCCCCACUCAAUGAAACCAACUAAAAGGAAUAAGGGGGUAUAACAACCAAGUCCGAGAAAACGACAU
rnacentral:rRNA from 1 species